rnacentral:lncRNA from 1 species
CUCUUUUAUAUAUGUACACACAUAUUUGUUUUUCAGUUUCUUUUUUGCGUUUUUUAUGGUUUCGUUCUUCUCUAUCCUCUGUAUUUAUUUGUGUUGUGUGCGUUGCUGAGCAGUGGCGGACGAAGAAGAAGAAACAACGAUGGGUGGCUGAUGCUCUGGUUCGAUUUCCGGCGUGGUGAGGGUCAGAAGGGGAAGGGAUUUGUUGGUAUCUUCAUGGAGAAGAAAGGUCUCGGUUGUGCGUUACUGUCCAGAUCCAGAAGAAGCUGAACGGUCGUUUGGGCGAGGUGUUGAGGUUCUAGGGUUCAGGGAGUGGGGGUCGUUUCUGGUUGUGUUGAGACGAGGAAAAAGAAGCAAGGGCGGCUGGUUGGCGGUUCUGGCGGCGGCGGCAGUGUAGGUUAGGGUUCAAGGUUGUUUCUCCAUUGUUGUUCAUGUUCAGCUAGGGUUUUUCUAGGGCUCCAUUAUUAGGGUUUCUU